AAUAGUUCUCUUGAUGUGCAAGAACGAAUGAGAAACAAUGCUAAUUUCUAUUUUCUUUUUUGUGAUUUUACAAACUACGCAUGGAUUUGUUAGUUUUGGACAUUUGUUCAGACCCUGGACAGAUACAACAAAUCCAAACCGAACAAAUCUGUUUUGUCCUUCUGACUGUGAUAAAGAAGUAUUCAUACACAGAGUAAAACGAUGUUGUCGAUGUGGUAUGAAACCUGUCUGGGAACUGGAUCUUACGGACGUUGAAUUUCUCAAUGUAGAGUAUAGAAAGAGGCGCGGAACAGCAUUUAUCAUUUCGAUAAAACAUUUCAUGAACUACAAGUACCAGAUAUUGAUUCAUACAUACGGAUUCCUCAGCGAAAUCCCUGGAAAUGUUUGUGAUUUUGCACAAAAAUUGGUAAAACUUGACCUAUCACAAAACGCCAUUAAAUUUCUUGAAAAUACCAGCUGCUUAAAAAAUUUGGACACGCUCGUAUUAGCGCGAAAUAAAAUAACACAGGUUAAAAACGAAACUUUUUCCGGUUUGUCGAUGUUACGAGUGUUAGAUUUGUCAAACAACGUCAUAAAAGUGCUUGAACCGAACACCAUGUCAGAUACCUCGCUGUUUCUUCAUAGUGCAAAUUUCCGUCAAAACCAAAUGCAGACCAUAGACAUAACCAACUUCGUCCUUGAAAAGCCAUUCUGUAAAAUCGAUUACUCAGACAAUAAAAUGACCGAUUUUACAAAUGAAGUUUCUUUUCAAAUUGAUCCAAAUAAAAUUUAUGGCGACGGAGGUUAUGUCGAUUUAGCUGACAACGAGUUUCAAACAUGGCUUAACUUUACUGAUUUGGGCUUUUAUGACCUUAAUCUGAUUGGAAAGGUUCUUAAGUAUUCUUUUGAUUUUCGAGGAGCAAACUGGAUCUGCGACUGUAAAAUGCAACCAUUUUUGGAGAAAGUGAAACCCUUUUUACCCACAUUAUGGAGAGAUUUUUUCAAUAUAACGUGCAAAGAACCCCCCGAGCUUUCAGGGGUCUCUAUUGCAGAUAUGGCCAUGAAAAACAAAUUGGAUAACUUUAUAUGCAAUAUUUCAGUUUCCAGUGGAUGUCCUCUUGGUUGUCAUUGUUACGAACAGCCAAGCGAGAGGCGAACUGUUGUAAACUGUACAGGAGUAGGGUUAACAACAAUGCCCUCCAAACUUCCGGCUUUCAGUAAUAUUGAGCUAUUGAUGAAGAACAAUUUAAUACAAGAAUUAGGCGACCUGGAAUAUUUAACUCAACUUAAAAAGAUAGAAAUUAACAAUAAUCCGCUUCAGAGGAUCUCAUCGGGUUUGGCAAACCGAAUAAAAUACAACGUUGAUAUCAGUUUAAAUUGCACGAAUCUGGAGAAAAUUCCGAACACGUUUAAACAAUUAGACCAACAUCAAGUGAAAUUAGGCAUUUGCAACAUAACCUGUGACUGCUCGUCCAAAUGGGUAAAAGAAUGGAUUUCUGCAAAAUCUGAUAAUUCUAAUCACAACGAAUUGUACUGUAAAGCAUCUGGGGGGAAUAUUCCUAUUAUUUCAUUUAACUUUGAUGCAUUGGAUUGCGCGGUCGACCAGUUCCUAAUCUACGUUGCUAUCGGUCUAGCUUCAUUUUUAAUUCUUCUGUCGGUUGGUACGUUAGUACUCUACCAUUACCGGUAUGAAUUAGUCCUUAUUCUCAAAAACCCCACCAUUGGCAGAGAAAAUGCGGUAUCGUUGCAUUACGAUAUCUAUAUCGUUGUAAAUGAAAAUAAUAAUGAGGCACUUUUAUGGGCAUAGACGGUUUUAACCCAUAAACUAAAAAGACUCGGGUAUAACACAUACUUUCCAUGCAGUGAUAACAUUUUGGGAGACUUUAAAGAAGAACUGAUCGUUCAAAUGUUAUCAAAGAGCAGGGAUGUUAUUGUUCUUCUAACAUCAGAAUUCAAAUCAGGUGAGGAAGAUUUAAACACGCUUUAUGCAAAUUUGGAAUGGCGACAUGCUUGGAACAAUUUCAAAACUAACUCUAAUGAGCGAAACCUAAUUGUCAUCAAUUUUGAUCAAUUGAGGGCAGGAGAUUUUGACGUAUCUCCCCUAAAGGCUUUUCUCCGUUUAAAGAUGACCUUAGAUUUUGCAGACAAAAGUCACAGACUUAUGGAAGACUUGCUGGCAAGAAUUGGGCCCCCGUCUCGUGUCAAUAAAAGACCAUUAUACAAACAGACACACAGGGAUCACACACAAUUCAUUGAGCUGUAUUUUUGGUAAAAAUGACUGCACUUUGGACUGAAUUAUAGUAUUUCAAACGUUCGAUAUUUUAAUAAUCUGAAUAUUUUACAUGAUUUAUCAAAAUGUAAAUGAAAAAUGCAUAGAGGCAAGUGCAUAUUGAAUACUAUUUUGUAUAUAUUAUUAUUUAAAAAAUUAAAGAUGUCCACAUAUUUUGUUUGGUUAAACAUUUUAUUAACUUUAAUGUGACUUUCAUAACUGGGUCUAUGAAUUCCCAAUUAAAUUUAUUAGAUUUGG
rnacentral:sRNA from 1 species